rnacentral:rRNA from 1 species
GUUUCGAAUCCAACUAGGGGAACCUGUCCCUUAAAUCGAUGAUCCGCGAUAACCUUACCUGCCUUAGAAACUUUAUAUUUUGAGCGAUAGUUCGGUUUUAGUUCAGUUUGUAUGCCGUCGUCGUCAGCUAGUGUAGAGAGCCGAGGAAACUAGCAACAGAGAAGUUGAGGUUGUUUUUAUUAAGGGGCUUCCCAAGACAGAUCAAGGUGCAGCCUACAGGCAGGGGGGAGAUGGGUUACAAUUUUUUUGAGUUCAAAUUGGAUUUUUAUUAUUGAAACAAUAAAAGGAAAUAGGACUUAGAAGUAAUUCUCUUGAAAAAUAGGAGUGUGAAUAGGAUAAGAAUCGCGU